ACAGGAAGCUGCAGCAUCAGCAGCAACAAAUGGAGAGAUGAGAGUUCUCAGCAUGUGGUAGCCCUACUGGCUUAGAUUCAAGAGACCCUUAUGCUCUCCAGCAUGAGCAAGGAUGUUUGGAGAUACUACCCAGGACAUAUUGUGGAGAAGGAAACUAGAGUAACAAGCUAACUUGCAGCAAGCCAAUAAGCUCCAAGGUGUGAAAGAGUUUGAGGCAAGAUGGAUUGGGUGGGCUGGUGUUAAUGUGCCAGAUGAGGCUGGGCAGAGGGCACUUACUAAAGCUUUGGCUGAAACGGUUCAGAGUUUCAGCUACAAUCUUUGCACCCUUGUUUAGUCUUGGGACAUUGAUAGUUGAUAUUUUAUUUUGAAUCAUGAAGAAUUCUUGUGAGCAUCAUUAAAUUCCUGUUUUUAUUUAUUUGUUCACCAAUGUUAUAAUGGCUAUUUCAACAACAUAUUAUGGCCUCUUUUUCAUUAUCUUGGACUUUCGCAAGAAGAUCAUCUCGCCACUACCCAGAAGUUUUCAGUCUCAGUUCGCUGCAUAUGUGAAAGAAAGUGUAAUGUUUGCUGCCGUGGUAAACCAGCAUUACCAGGAGGGUGAUGUUGUUUGGUGCCAUGACUACCACCUCAUGUUCCUUCCAAAAUGCUUGAAGGAGCACAACAAUGAUAUGAAAGUUGGUUGGUUUCUCCACACCUUUUCCUUCUUCAGAAAUCCACAAGACACUGCCAUCUCGAUCAGAGCUUCUGCAUGCUGUUCUUGCUUCUGACUUGGUUGGAUUGGAUUAGGGUGACAUUUUUGGCGUGCAACAAUGAUGUAAUUUGUUUGAAUGUUCAUUUUUUGUUUGAUAAGGAUAUGCAUACUUUGUAGAGUUGCACUAGUUAUUGUUGGAUGUUUGGUGGAAUUGAACAAUUAC